CCUACGGGCGGCAGCAGUGAGGAAUAUUGGUCAAUGGACGAAAGUCUGAACCAGCCAUGCCGCGUGCAGGAAGACGGCUCUAUGAGUUGUAAACUGCUUUUGUACAAGGGUAAACCUGAAUACGUGUAUUCAGCUGAAAGUACUGUACGAAUAAGGAUCGGCUAACUCCGUGCCAGCAGCCGCGGUAAUACGGAGGAUCCAAGCGUUAUCCGGAUUUAUUGGGUUUAAAGGGUGCGUAGGCGGAUUGAUAAGUUAGAGGUGAAAUGUCCGGGCUCAACUCGGGAACUGCCUCUAAUACUGUUGAUCUAGAGAGUAGAUGCGGUAGGCGGAAUGUAUGGUGUAGCGGUGAAAUGCUUAGAGAUCAUACAGAACACCGAUUGCGAAGGCAGCUUACCAAUCUAUAUCUGACGUUGAGGCACGAAAGCGUGGGGAGUAAACAGGAUUAGAUACCCGUGUAGUC
rnacentral:rRNA from 1 species